rnacentral:ncRNA from 1 species
AAAAUGACGAUGAGAGGAAAUAGUACAUUCUCAGUUGCCGUUUUUAGAGAAUUGCCGGCUGGUGAAAGGCAAUAAUGGCUGGAGUUUGGAACUCUUCCUUGAGUAGCCGACCGAAAUUAGUUAAAGUAGGCUCGGACGGAGCUUCCACCGUUAAAAGGAAGGGGAUAUCGGAUGAAUUGAUCCCGAACGACGAGGAUCGAUAACUCCCGUAUCUGCAGAGAAGACGGCUAUAAUAUAGUUGUCAAUUUGAGUGGUACCGCGAAAUAACCCUUCGUCUCAAUC